CCUACGGGUGGCAGCAGUGAGGAAUAUUGGUCAAUGGGCGGAAGCCUGAACCAGCCAAGUAGCGUGCAGGAUGACGGCCCUACGGGUUGUAAACUGCUUUUAUACGGGAAUAAAGCGCCUUACGUGUAUGUCUUUGCAUGUACCGUAUGAAUAAGGACCGGCUAAUUCCGUGCCAGCAGCCGCGGUAAUACGGAAGGUCCGGGCGUUAUCCGGUUUUAUGGGGGUAAAGGGGUGCGAAGGGGGAAGAGAAAGUCAGCGGUAAAAGUGGGAGGUUCAACCUCUUCGAGCCGUUGAAACUGGUUGUCUGGAGUGAGUGAGAAGUAUGCGGAAUGCGUGGUGUAGCGGUGAAAUGCAUAGAUAUCACGCAGAACUCCGAUUGCGAAGGCAGCAUACCGGCGCUCAACUGACGCUCAUGCACGAAAGUGUGGGUAUCGAACAGGAUUAGAUACCCGAGUAGUC
rnacentral:rRNA from 1 species